rnacentral:rRNA from 1 species
UACGUAGGGACCAAGCGUUGUUCGGAUUUACUGGGCGUAAAGGGCGCGUAGGCGGCAAUUCAAGUCAGCUGUGAAAUCUCCGGGCUUAACUCGGAACGGUCAGCUGAUACUGCUUUGCUAGAGUGCAGAAGGGGCAAUCGGAAUUCUUGGUGUAGCGGUGAAAUGCGUAGAUAUCAAGAGGAACACCUAUUGCGAAGGCAGCUCGCUGGGACGUUACUGACGCUGAGACGCGAAAGCGUGGGAGCAAACAGG